rnacentral:rRNA from 1 species
GUGAGGAAUAUUGGUCAAUGGACGAGAGUCUGAACCAGCCAAGUCGCGUGAAGGAAGACGGUUCUAUGAAUUGUAAACUUCUUUUGUGCAGGAAUAAAGUGGGUUACGUGUAACCUUUUGUAUGUACUGUACGAAUAAGGAUCGGCUAACUCCGUGCCAGCAGCCGCGGUAAUACGGAGGAUCCGAGCGUUAUCCGGAUUUCUUGGGUUUAAAGGGUGCGUAGGUGGAUUGAUAAGUCAGCGGUGAAAGUUUGCAGCUUAACUGUAAGAUUGCCGUUGAAACUGUGGGUCUUGAGUGCAAAUGAGGUAGGAGGAAUGUGUUGUGUAGCGGUGAAAUGCUUAGUUAUAACACAGAACUCCGAUUGCGAAGGCAGCUUACUGGGAUGCAACUGACACUGAUGCACGAAAGCGUGGGUAUCAAACAGGAUUAGAAACCCUUGUAGUCC